rnacentral:rRNA from 1 species
UAUUCCCCACUGCUGCCUCCCGUAGGAGUCUGGGCCGUGUCUCAGUCCCAAUGUGGCCGUCCGCCCUCUCAGGCCGGCUACUGAUCGUCGCUUCGGUGGGCCGUUACCCCGCCGACUGGCUAAUCAGAUGCGGAUCCAUUCCAUCCCGAUAAAUCUUUUCACACCGCAGGAUGCCCUGCUGUGCGCUUAUGCGGUAUUACCAGCCGUUUCCAGCUGCUAUCCCCCUGGAUGGACCAGGUUAUCCACACGUUACUCACCCGUCCGCCACUAAGUAUAUGCAAGAUUCUCUCUAUGCAAGCACUUCGAUCAUCAGCGCAUAUACUCCGUUCGACUUGCAUGUGUUAGGCACGCCGCCAGCGUUCAUCCUGAGCCAA